UACGUAGGUCCCGAGCGUUGUCCGGAUUUAUUGGGCGUAAAGCGAGCGCAGGUGGUUUAUUAAGUCUGGUGUAAAAGGCAGUGGCUCAACCGUUGUAUGCAUUGGAAACUGGUAGACUUGAGUGCAGGAGAGGAGAGUGGAAUUCCAUGUGUAGCGGUGAAAUGCGUAGAUAUAUGGAGGAACACCGGUGGCGAAAGCGGCUCUCUGGCCUGUAACUGACACUGAGGCUCGAAAGCGUGGGGAACAAACAGG
rnacentral:rRNA from 1 species